ACGGAAGGCAGCAGUAGGGAAUAUUGCACAAUGGGGGAAACCCUGAUGCAGCAACGCCACGUGUGGGAAGAAGCAUUUCGGUGUGUAAACCACUGUCGUGAGGGAAUAACGCUUGAUUUCGGUCAAGUUGAAUGUACCUCGAAAGGAAGCUCCGGCUAAAUACGUGCCAGCAGCCGCGGUAAUACGUAUGGAGCAAGCGUUAUCCGGAUUUACUGGGUGUAAAGGGAGCGUAGACGGCAAAGCAAGUCUGAAGUGAAAUCCCGGGGCUCAACCCCGGAACUGCUUUGGAAACUGUUUAGCUAGAGUGCAGGAGAGGUAAGCGGAAUUCCUAGUGUAGCGGUGAAAUGCGUAGAUAUUAGGAGGAACACCAGUGGCGAAGGCGGCUUACUGGACUGUAACUGACGUUGAGGCUCGAAAGCGUGGGGAGCAAACAGGAUUAGAUACCCUGGUA
rnacentral:rRNA from 1 species